GACGAACGCUGGCGGCGUGCUUAACACAUGCAAGUCGAACGGAAAGGCCCUGCUUUUGUGGGGUGCUCGAGUGGCGAACGGGUGAGUAACACGUGAGUAACCUGCCCUUGACUUUGGGAUAACUUCAGGAAACUGGGGCUAAUACCGGAUAGGAGCUCCUGCUGCAUGGUGGGGGUUGGAAAGUUUCGGCGGUUGGGGAUGGACUCGCGGCUUAUCAGCUUGUUGGUGGGGUAGUGGCUUACCAAGGCUUUGACGGGUAGACGGCCUGAGAGGGUGACCGGCCACAUUGGGACUGAGAUACGGCCCAGACUGCUACGGGAGGCAGCAGUGGGGAAUAUUGCACAAUGGGCGGAAGCCUGAUGCAGCAGCGCCGCGUGCGGGAUGACGGCCUUCGGGUUGUAAACCGCUUUCGCCUGUGACGAAGCGUGAGUGACGGUAAUGGGUAAAGAAGCACCGGCUAACUACGUG
rnacentral:rRNA from 1 species